GAACGGCAGCAUGGGUGCUUGCACCUGAUGGCGAGUGGCGAACGGGUGAGUAAUGCAUCGGAACGUACCCGGAAGUGGGGGAUAACGUAGCGAAAGUUACGCUAAUACCGCAUAUUCUGUGAGCAGGAAAGAGGGGGAUCGCAAGACCUCUCGCUUUCGGAGCGGCCGAUGUCAGAUUAGCUAGUUGGUAGGGUAAAAGCCUACCAAGGCGACGAUCUGUAGCGGGUCUGAGAGGAUGAUCCGCCACACUGGGACUGAGACACGGCCCAGACUCCUACGGGAGGCAGCAGUGGGGAAUUUUGGACAAUGGGCGCAAGCCUGAUCCAGCCAUGCCGCGUGAGUGAAGAGGGCCUUCGGGUUGUAAAGCUCUUUCGGCGGGGAAGAAAUCGCAUCUCCUAAUACGGGGUGUGGAUGACGGUACCCGAAUAAGAAGCACCGGCUAACUACGUGCCAGCAGCCGCGGUAAUACGUAGGGUGCGAGCGUUAAUCGGAAUUACUGGGCGUAAAGCGUGCGCAGGCGGUUUUGUAAGACAGAUGUGAAAUCCCCGGGCUCAACCUGGGAACUGCAUUUGUGACUGCAAGGCUAGAGUAUGGCAGAGGGGGGUGGAAUUCCACGUGUAGCAGUGAAAUGCGUAGAGAUGUGGAGGAACACCGAUGGCGAAGGCAGCCCCCUGGGCCAAUACUGACGCUCAUGCACGAA
rnacentral:rRNA from 1 species